rnacentral:rRNA from 1 species
GAUCAUGGCUCAGGAUGAACACUGGCGGCGUGCUUAACACAUGCAAGUCGAGCGAAGCACUUUACUUGGAUUUCUUCGGAAUGACGAGUAUUGUGACUGAGCGGCGGACGGGUGAGUAACGCGUGGGUAACCUGCCUCAUACAGGGGGAUAACAGUUAGAAAUGACUGCUAAUACCGCAUAAGACCACAGCACCGCAUGGUGCAGGGGUAAAAACUCCGGUGGUAUGAGAUGGACCCG